rnacentral:rRNA from 1 species
CCUACGGGAGGCUGCAGUGGGGAAUAUUGGUCAAUGGAGGAAACUCUGAUGCAGCGACGCCGCGUGAGUGAGGAAGUUUUUCGGUAUGUAAAGCUCUAUCAGUAGGGAUGAACAUGAUGGUACUUGCCUAAUACGCAGCGGCUAACUACGAGCCAGCAGCCGCGGUAAUACGGAGGGGGCAAGAGUUAUCCGGAUUUACUGGGUGUAAUGGGAGCGUAGUCGGCUAAUCAAGUCAGUAGUGAAAUCCCAGGGCUCAACCUUGGGAGUGCUUUUAAAACUGUUUAGCUAGAGUGCAGGAGGGGUAAGCGGAAUUCCUAGUGUAGCGGUGAAAUGCGUAGAUAUUAGGAGGAACACCAGGGGCGAAGGCGGCUUACUGGACUGUAACUGACGUUGAGGCACGAAAGCGUGGGGAGCAAACAGGAUUAGAUACCCUGGUAGUC